rnacentral:rRNA from 1 species
UACGAAGGGGCUAGCGUUGUUCGGAAUCACUGGGCGUAAAGGGCGCGUAGGCGGCCGAUCAAGUCGGGGGUGAAAGCCUGUGGCUUAACCACAGAAUGGCCUUCGAUACUGUUUGGCUUGAGACCGGAAGAGGUUAGUGGAACUGCGAGUGUAGAGGUGAAAUUCGUAGAUAUUCGCAAGAACACCAGUGGCGAAGGCGGCUGACUGGUCCGGUUCUGACGCUGAGGCGCGAAAGCGUGGGGAGCAACAGG